GAUGAACGCUGGCGGCGUGCCUAAUACAUGCAAGUCGAGCGAACAGAUGAGGAGCUUGCUCCUCUGACGUUAGCGGCGGACGGGUGAGUAACACGUGGAUAACCUACCUAUAAGACUGGGAUAACUUCGGGAAACCGGAGCUAAUACCGGAUAAUAUAUUGAACCGCAUGGUUCAAUAGUGAAAGACGGUUUUGCUGUCACUUAUAGAUGGAUCCGCGCCGCAUUAGCUAGUUGGUAAGGUAACGGCUUACCAAGGCAACGAUGCGUAGCCGACCUGAGAGGGUGAUCGGCCACACUGGAACUGAGACACGGUCCAGACUCCUACGGGAGGCAGCAGUAGGGAAUCUUCCGCAAUGGGCGAAAGCCUGACGGAGCAACGCCGCGUGAGUGAUGAAGGUCUUCGGAUCGUAAAACUCUGUUAUUAGGGAAGAACAAAAGUGUAAGUAACUAUGCACGUCUUGACGGUACCUAAUCAGAAAGCCACGGCUAACUACGUG
rnacentral:rRNA from 1 species